ACAGAUCACUGGAAUUCAGAGAGAGUCAGACAUAUGAAACAAAGUUCAGGCAGGAUUAGAUGCAGACCAUUGCUGUGGAUAUGAGACGAUGACCUUUGCAUGACUCAUACAAUCUCUGAAGAGGCACACAUCUUCUAGAACUGCUCUUGCGGUUUCUGAUGCCACCACUACAUGCCAGCAUGGAAAGGUCUUAGCUACCCUGAAUCAAAAAUAUUACCUCUAUCAAGUAUCAAGAAAUGAAAACGAAAGCCAUAAAGGAGAGUUUAAUGAAGUUUCUCUGUUAAGUCACAAAGCAAAUUAGCAGAAGAAUGUUGAUGACGACAUAGAUAUGGAAUAGAACCGCCACGACCCCUUUCUUUGGUUUUAAAUUUUUGCAGAUUCUCCGAUACAUUGAUUGGAAAAGCAGCUUCCAGGGAAGGACAAAAAAAGGAGAAUAAGAAGAAAAAAAGAAGAGAGGUGGAAGGAAUUUGGGGAGCAAUCUUGUCACAUUAAAUUUUGCAAAGCAUCGACAUAGUGAGAGCAUACAGCCAUGAAUUUAUUGCGACAUAUACUUCUCCUCGUGCUGGUGCUGGGGAGGUAUGCUGCAGCUGAGCAUUUAGAAGAGCGAGGCCGUUGAGAUUAGAUGCGGAAAGAGAACAUGAGACGUGCAGGCCCAAGAUCCGUUUCCCUCCGUUCCCACCCCAUGUAUAUUAAACAGCCGGCGAGCGGCGGCCGCGCGGCGCGGUGACCUAGCGAGCGCCCGGAGUCCCCGGCCUCCACGCGGGUCCGCGCACGGCCGCCGCCGCUGCCGCCGCCGGCGAUUGCAGAGGGGCGUCUCGCAGCCAGAUUGGUUUCUACAUCCAGGGAUAAUUACCGCACUCUCACUUGCCUAGCGCCCUUAAUAUUUUCAAAAAGUGCAGGGGGAAGAGCGAGAGUGUGAGUGUGAGUGAGUGUGAGUGUGUGUGUGUUGUGACAGAGUCAUUCUUGAUAAAAUUUAUUAAAAGUUAAAAGUAUUGGUCGAGACACUUAAUAUCAUCAUCGCCCCCAGCGGAGAAGCUGGUCCGGGUUCCGCUCGCCCAAGGCUGCCUCUGCC